UGAUAUGAUAUACUGAGUGUGUAAAUAGCUUAAAAUUAUUUUCUCGUGAGAAUAUUAGGUAAAUUAUUUAUAAUGUGUAUUGGAUGUGUAUUUCAUGAUAGAAUUAUAUUAACUUUAGGAAGUUGUAGAAAUUGUAUCUGUAAUCAACAUCUAAACUUACUGAAUCGAAUGCUUACUCCUAUUCAAAAAAAUGUUUUCCCCAAGUUACCACCCACUUAAUAGCUUCAACUCUUUAUCUUAAGGGUCAUAAACCCUCACUAGGAGUUUCUAAUUCCUCUAAAAAUACAAAACCCUAUCUAAACACAGUGGAUCCCCCAAGGAGAAAAUUAUUAGCAAAAUAUUCUUAUAGGGCACUAUUAGGAUGUAUGCAGGUUUAUACAAUAAUCAUAUGUUGGUAUUGUAAUUUGUGGCUUAUAAAAUUAACAGUGAGAACAUUAGAUAGGUUAAACAAUUCCUUCAAAUAAACUGUGAUUUUUAACCUCUUAUUCUCUAUAGAACUCUUAUGGAAAAACGCAACUUCAAGAGACAUUUCCCCAUCAACCUGCUAAAUGUGGCACUUAUGCCCACCACAUAUAGUGUGGCUAUGCUGGUA
rnacentral:misc_RNA from 1 species